ACGCACGCUGGCGGCGUGCUUCACACAUGCCAGUCGAACGGAAAGGCCCUGCUUUUGUGGGGUGCUCGAGUGGCGAACGGGUGAGUAACACGUGAGUAACCUGCCCUUGACUUUGGGAUAACUUCAGGAAACUGGGGCUAAUACCGGAUAGGAGCUCCUGCUGCAUGGUGGGGGUUGGAAAGUUUCGGCGGUUGGGGAUGGACUCGCGGCUUAUCAGCUUGUUGGUGGGGUAGUGGCUUACCAAGGCUUUGACGGGUAGCCGGCCUGAGAGGGUGACCGGCCACAUUGGGACUGAGAUACGGCCCAGACUCCUACGGGAGGCAGCAGUGGGGAAUAUUGCACAAUGGGCGGAAGCCUGAUGCAGCAACGCCGCGUGCGGGAUGACGGCCUUCGGGUUGUAAACCGCUUUCGCCUGUGACGAAGCGUGAGAGACGGUAAUGGGUAAAGAAGCACCGGCUAACUACGUG
rnacentral:rRNA from 1 species